UAACCGAUGGGACAUAUGCCAUAUCCAAC
rnacentral:sRNA from 1 species